ACACUUCAACUCUCACGGUUCGCCGCGACGAGCUUGGACUUGGGGGUUUUGCUGGCAUGCGGUCGGCUCCUCUCAAAUGAAUCAGCUUGCCAGUCUGUGGUGGCGUCACAGGUGUGAUAAAUAUCUACGCUUGUGGGUCGUCUGCCAGGUAACUUUCAGUGAUGGAGGUUUGCUGGAGCUUAUAAACGUCUCUCCUGGGGGAAGACAGCUUUUUGAAC
rnacentral:misc_RNA from 1 species